rnacentral:ribozyme from 12 species
AGCAAAAAAAAAGAGGAAAAAUAGUCACAUUUUGGCGGGACGGAGGGAGGUGUCACGAUUAAUUUUUAUUCUCAUAUUUCGUGUGAUUUAUUGUUCUUUCAGGUUUUUGUCACUCUUAGAGG